AGAACGAACGCUGGCGGCGUGGAUAAGACAUGCAAGUCGAGCGCUGAUUACGGGGUAGCAAUAUCUCGUAGUUGGAGCGGCGCAAGGGUGCGUAACACGUGGGUAAUCUGCCAUGAAGUCCGGGAUAACUCGCUGAAAGGCGAGCUAAUACCGUAUGUGAAAAUCGGAAGGCAUCUUCUGAUUUUCAAAGCUGGGGACCGUAAGGCCUGGCGCUUCAUGAUGAGCCCGCGGCCUAUCAGCUAGUUGGUGAGGUAACGGCUCACCAAGGCUAAGACGGGUAGCUGGUCUGAGAGGACGACCAGCCACACUGGAACUGAGACACGGUCCAGACACCUACGGGUGGCAGCAGUCGAGUAAUUUUCAC
rnacentral:rRNA from 1 species